rnacentral:tRNA from 14 species
GGUUAGCUCAGUGGGAAGAACUCUUGGCUUUUAAUAUUGUGUCGGUGGGUUCUAUCCCUUCUAGG